ACCUCCUUAGAUUAGCUAGUUGGUGAGGUAAUGGCUCACCAAGGCGACGAUCCGUAACUGGUCUGAGAGGAUGAUCAGUCACACUGGAACUGAGACACGGUCCAGACUCCUACGGGAGGCAGCAGUGGGGAAUAUUGGACAAUGGGCGAAAGCCUGAUCCAGCCAUGCCGCGUGUGUGAAGAAGGUCUUCGGAUUGUAAAGCACUUUAAGUUGGGAGGAAGGGCAGUAAGUUAAUACCUUGCUGUUUUGACGUUACCGACAGAAUAAGCACCGGCUAACUCUGUGCCAGCAGCCGCGGUAAUACAGAGGGUGCAAGCGUUAAUCGGAAUUACUGGGCGUAAAGCGCGCGUAGGUGGUUUGUUAAGUUGGAUGUGAAAGCCCCGGGCUCAACCUGGGAACUGCAUCCAAACUGGAAGCUAAGUACGGAAGGGUGGUGGAAUUUCCUGUAUAGCGUUAAUGCCCAAA
rnacentral:rRNA from 1 species